AAUAAUAUUACAUUGUGAAUUUAAUAAAAUUUAUUGAAAUAUUAAUUUCCAAAUGGAUCCUUAAUUAUGUAUUUCUUUCCAAUCAAUAUGUCCUAAAAUUUCAAUAUUAUGUAGGUUGUACACUAUCUUGUUUCACAAAAGAGGUCAGUUCUGUGUUUCAGAAUAGCUAACCAAUUCCUUUGUAUAAAUAAUAAUUUAGGAUCGCUAUUUACCAUCUCAAUAUCCCAUUUAAAUAAGAGACUCAAUGGACUUAGAAGUGGAGAGCUUCAAAGGAAGGGGUAAAAUAGAAAGCCCCACCCAUAAUGGAUUAGGUCUGUGUAGUUUCUCUCAUGACUGAAGAAGCUAAUGUAAUAGAAGCACUCAUGAGUAAUCAGAUGUCUCCUGAUGAAUGAAUUGAAUUGUCAUAGUAGAAGCAAUUCAGUAUACAUUUUAUUAUGAAACUUUUGUGGAUAAACAAAUUCAUUUUCUGAUUCAUCUAAUUUAUUUAAUCAGAAAAAAAUUUAACAUGCAUUAAAAAAAUCAAUGGGCAUUAUGAAUGAUCCACCCUAACUAAUAUGUAUAUUCAUUGAUUUACUGAAUUAUGAUUAAUACAAUUACUAUUUGUAAGUUUGUCUUUUGGGUAGAAUAAAGGCAUCACCAAUCUACUGUGUCUGGUAUUUCCAAAAGCUGCUGUUCAGACAGAGAAUUAUCCCAGUGAUGUUACUACUUGGGUAUUAACUUUGAUCAUCUCUUUUAAAUGAUUAGUCAGUUCACAAAUGAGAAUCUAGCUUUUAUACAACUGUAUUUUUAUCACAGUCAAAGAGAAAUACAUGUGGCUUAGUAAAUUGAGUUCUAGUGUUUGCUCUUAACUCAUCUAUGAUAUCAACAAAAAUCAUAACUAAUAGAUGUAUUGAUUUACAACUGUAACUCCAGUACUUGGGUAACUGGAAAAGGAGGAUGGAUAACUGUCAGUUCUGGGUAAAUUAGAGCUGGUCAGCCAAUAGCUAGACGCUACUCCUCACCAUUCUGCUGGGCUAAGGGGUAGGGUAGGAAUCAUGAGUGCUCUUGAGAUUAAACUUCCUACAAUUUGAAGGCAUUUGGUCAAUUAUCAUUCAUCCAAUGCUUGUGACACUCAAUGAAAACCACUACAUAGCAAAGAUCAUGGCCAUCACUAUUGGCUACAGGAAUUGGAACCUCUCACAUUGUACUACAACAAAGCCAUUUAAUGUCUCAACUCCUCAGAGCUUGUGUUCUUUUUGAUGAUAGAACAAACUGGACUUAGACCACAAACUAUUUUGCUUUUACAAUUAAUUGCUACAAACCUUCCACUGUCACAGCGUAUGAUGAGAAAAUGGUUAGAGUUUGUCAAUGUCUGUUCCUUCUUUGGCAAUUACUCAUGUAGAGGAAAGGAAGACACAUUUCAGGUUUUUAGAUACAAUUGUCAUCACUCAACAUGAAAACACUUGGGAUGGAAUGUUAUAUUUAUUGAACAUAUUGUUAUCCCAUAGGGACAUUAUAUUUUUAGACAACUAACUAAUCAUUGGCUCAACUAUGUUUUGAUCUCUAUCAUGUAUCCUCUUACACAUAUGUGCCUCGCAAAUGGUAAACUUUACCUGUAUGUUUUUGAAAGGAAUUAUCAAUACAAGUCUGUAGAUGCCUUUGGAUGGGGAGAAACUUUAGUCCUUGCCUCUAUUCCAAGGAAAAAUAUAUAUCAAUGUUCAUUGUUUGUUUUGUUUUCUGGGUUUUUUUGCUUGUUUCUUUUUGCUAUACAAAUAUAGAAGUUGUAAUACACUGCAAAGUGUAGAAGAAAUUUGUCUAAGAUUUUUGAAUGAGUAUUAUUUAAGCAGUCAGAUAAUUCAUCAUUUUGUUUACUUCUCUGGGCAUAAAAGAGCAUACAUUUCUUGUCCAGGCAGAGAAUUUGAGUGAUUGCAUACUUUUUUAGCUGAAACCUUCAGUGUCUUUCAUGAAAGAAUCAUCAGUUUUGCAAAGUUGGUGAAUUAAAAGAAAAAAAGUCUACCUUGAGGAAAUGGAAACAAAUGUUCCUUCCUCCAUUUCACGCUUCC
rnacentral:lncRNA from 1 species